UUUAAAAACCGGCAAAUCUAGAGAAAUCUAGAGACGCAAAGCUAAAGGGGCUAAGGUUUAAUCAAACUAUGCCAGCCAGUUGCCAAA
rfam:Terrisporobacter sp. 08-306576 Contig104, whole genome shotgun sequence.